AAGCCUGAUGGAGCAAUACAGCGUGCUGGAUGAAGGCCUUCGGGUUGUAAACAGCUGUUAUUAGGGAAGAACAACACCUCUAGGAAAUGAGGGGUGCCUGACGGUACCUAAUGAGAAAGCACCGGCAAAACAUGUGCCAGCAGCCGCGGUAAUA
rnacentral:rRNA from 1 species